UGGAUCCAGACUUUGAUUAUGGCUCAGGAUGAACGCUAGCUACAGGCUUAACACAUGCAAGUCGAGGGGCAGCAUGGUCUUAGCUUGCUAAGGCCGAUGGCGACCGGCGCACGGGUGAGUAACACGUAUCCAACCUGCCGUCUACUCUUGGACAGCCUUCUGAAAGGAAGAUUAAUACAAGAUGGCAUCAUGAGUCCACAUGUUCACAUGAUUAAAGGUAUUCCGGUAGACGAUGGGGAUGCGUUCCAUUAGAUAGUAGGCGGGGUAACGGCCCACCUAGUCUUCGAUGGAUAGGGGUUCUGAGAGGAAGGUCCCCCACAUUGGAACUGAGACACGGUCCAAACUCCUACGGGAGGCAGCAGUGAGGAAUAUUGGUCAAUGGGCGAGAGCCUGAACCAGCCAAGUAGCGUGAAGGAUGACUGCCCUAUGGGUUGUAAACUUCUUUUAUAAAGGAAUAAAGUCGGGUAUGCAUACCCGUUUGCAUGUACUUUAUGAAUAAGGAUCGGCUAACUCCGUGCCAGCAGCCGCGGUAAUACGGAGGAUCCGAGCGUUAUC
rnacentral:rRNA from 1 species